rnacentral:rRNA from 1 species
AUGGCUAAGAGGCUGAGGUCUGGUGGCCAGAUCCAUGCGGAGCGAAUAGUGCUCAUGCCUCCUAUGUCAACAGCCAUAGCUGUGAUGGAACAUGUAUGUUUCGAGAUCGAAGAAGGAUACGGAGAGACCAAUCCAUAUGUGUCUACCUUGUUCGACAAAAUAUGGUACGUGAAAGACGUUGGUGACUGUUGCUCCCGCAUUUCUUCAAAAUUCAAAACAAAGAAGGAUGACAACGAUGAAGAUGGAGAAGAGGUUGACAGCUUUGCGUGCAAAAGGCGUAAAACUGGAAGCCAGCCAGUGCUCACUGCCAUUUAG